rnacentral:rRNA from 1 species
UACGUAGGGGGGCUAGCGUUGUCCGGAAUCAUUGGGCGUAAAGAGCGUGUAGGCGGUCCGGUAAGUCCGCUGUGAAAGUCGGGGGCUCAACCCUCGAAUGCCGGUGGAUACUGUCGGGCUAGAGUGCGGAAGAGGCGAGUGGAAUUCCUGGUGUAGCGGUGAAAUGCGCAGAUAUCAGGAGGAACACCUAUUGCGAAGGCAGCUCGCUGGGACGUAACUGACGCUGAGACGCGAAAAGCGUGGGGAGCAAACAGG